rnacentral:rRNA from 1 species
AUACGGGAGGCAGCAGUGGGGAAUAUUGGGCAAUGGGCGCAAGCCUGACCCAGCCACGCCGCGUGAGUGAUGAAGGCCUUCGGGUCGUAAAGCUCUGUGGGGAGGGACGAACCUCCGCAACCUAAUACGUUGCGGACUGACGGUACCUCCUUAGCAAGCACCGGCCAACUCCGUGCCAGCAGCCGCGGUAAUACGGAGGGUGCAAACGUUGCUCGGAAUCAUUGGGCGUAAAGCGCGCGUAGGCGGUCCGGUUAGUCGGGUGUGAAAGCCCUAGGCUUAACCUAGGAAGUGCAUCCGAAACUGCCGGGCUAGAGUACCGGAGAGGGCGACGGAAUUCCCGGUGUAGAGGUGAAAUUCGUAGAUAUCGGGAGGAACACCAGCGGCGAAGGCGGUCGCCUGGACGGAUACUGACGCUGAGGCGCGAAAGCGUGGGGAGCAAACAGGAUUAGAUACCCCCGUAC